rnacentral:rRNA from 1 species
GUGGGGAAUCUUGCGCAAUGGGCGAAAGCCUGACGCAGCCAUGCCGCGUGAAUGAUUAAGGUCUUAGGAUUGUAAAAUUCUUUCACCGGGGACGAUAAUGACGGUACCCGGAGAAGAAGCCCCGGCUAACUUCGUGCCAGCAGCCGCGGUAAUACGAAGGGGGCUAGCGUUGCUCGGAAUUACAGGGCGUAAAGGGCGCGUAGGCGGACAGUUUAGUCAGAGGUGAAAGCCCAGGGCGCAACCUUGGAAUUGCCUUUGAUACUGGCUGUCUUGAGUACGGGAGAGGUGAGUGGAACUCCGAGUGUAGAGGUGAAAUUCGUAGAUAUUCGGAAGAACACCAGUGGCGAAGGCGACUCACUGGCCCGUUACUGACGCUGAGGCGCGAAAGCGUGGGGAGCAAACAGGAUUAGAUACCCCAGUAGUCC